AAUCUGUUGGGGGCAAAUAAAAUGUAUGUGGGAAUCAUAUCCUCCGGCAGUGAGAAUCAUUCCCUCACCCGCAAUCACCUCGGUACCCGCUCCAACCACCAUGUUCGGAUCCACCCCGUCCUGAAUCAAAGGGUUUCCUCCAUGACCCACACCGGCAAUUCUGCCUUCUUUGAUCCCGACAUCCGCUUUAAUGACACCCAGCAAAGGAUCCAGUAUCGUGGCAUUGGUUAUAAUCAAAUCCAAACAGUCGGCGUCCAAAGCGAGCGGAGACUGCCCCAUUCCAUCACG
rnacentral:sRNA from 1 species